UAGGGAAUCUUCCACAAUGGACGAAAGUCUGAUGGAGCAACGCCGCGUGAGUGAAGAAGGUUUUCGGAUCGUAAAGCUCUGUUGUUGGUGAAGAAGGAUAGAGGCAGUACUGGUCUUUAUUUGACGGUAAUCAACCAGAAAGUCACGGCUAACUACGUGCCAC
rnacentral:rRNA from 1 species